rnacentral:misc_RNA from 1 species
UAAAUAUAUUAUAUAAAGGAAAGUCAUAAUAAUUAAUAAUUAAUAUAAAUAAUAUAUAUUUGUGUUAUUAUUAAAAAUAAUAACAUUAAUGAUACCUAAAAAAAAGGUAUAAACUUAAUUUAAUUAAGAAAAUAUUUAAAUAUACUUUAAUUAAUAUAAUAUUUAAUUAUUAAAAAUCAAUUAAAUUGAGAAUAAUUAAAUAAUUUUAAUUUAUAUAUAAUAUAUAUAUAUAUAAAUUAUAGUUAUAUAUUUUAACAAAAAUAUGCUUAUAUAUAAU